rnacentral:sRNA from 1 species
AAAUUCAUUCUUAUCCUCGCUUGUCUGGCGCUUUUUGUGGCCCACAUUCAUGCUCAGCGGUGUCGCGGACGUCUUGCACCAAACAGGAAAGCUUGCACUGGUGGUCGAAAUGAGGGAAUUGGCAGAGGUCGCAAUUGCGCAAGGAAUGCAAAUCGAAACAUGUGGUGGUACGAUACUACAGACAGCACCUGCAAAAGAAUGAACUAUCGCGGAUGUGGUGGCAACAACAAUCGCUAUUGCACUCGGGCGGAAUGCGAAAGAAGGUGCAGGCGUAGAGCUACUACUACUGCUGCUCCAACUACUGCUGCUCCUACUACUGCUGCUCCUACUGCUGCUCCCCCUGCAUAAUUGAAAGAAAGCCCAUUUGAAUAUUGAAAUAAAUCGAGUGAUUGUGGAAAGGAA